rnacentral:lncRNA from 1 species
CUUGCCUCAGCCUCCCGAGUAGCUUGGACUACAGGAAGGAAUUAAGAUCUCGUUUCCUCACUGAAAUCCAGAAAGAAAAGGUUGGUGUUGUGUUCCCUUAGGUUUGAGCCGUGAGAAGCGUCUCUGGUUCAUGAGUUUUGGGUGGUAGGAGUGGAAGUAGGAUGAGGGGAUUAUGUAGUAUUACCCCUGAGCAGGAAGGCAGGCUUUGAGUAGAGAAGGUGAGGUAGAGCCCUAAGGUUGAGAUGGCAGGGAGAGUACAGAGGGGCCCUUUCUGUGGGAUUGGUUUGUAUUCCAGUCCCAGUUCCCAUGAAGUACCCUGGAAGAUGGCAAGGUCUUUGAUGUGGUCACUGAUUUGGGCAGUAGGGACUGAGGAAUGGGAGUGUUCUGGAGCUGCUCCUUCAAGUGAAUCAUCUAAACUUGUAUCUUUUCAGAGAGCAAAGAUGAACUGGUUACCUUAGAAGCCCUUUAUAUAUAUAUAUAACGAGAUUGUGUAAGCUCCACCAAUUUCUUUUGUGAUAUCGAGGAAGGGGGGGUGACUCACAAAGCAUGAUAAAGUUUGGGGAAAUAUUUUAUUAAUAUGAAAGAUGAGGAAUUUAGAUUCUGACAUGAUGUGAUUUUUAAAAAGAGAUAAUAGCAUGAAAUGUCUUCAUCUUAGUGUUGUGGGGCAAAUUUGAAGCAUCUGUAGUGUACAGUUUAGCAGCUAAUUAGCUGAAGCUAAUUAAAAGGAAGAUACCUAAAAUUAAUUUUUGAUGAUAGACAUUGCUCUGUAAAUUUGGAGCUUUAAGGUGUGUAUUCACAGAUUAUUUUCUCUUUAGGAACAGGAUUGCUAAAUUUGUGUAGGUUAUUAUUGAGGCACAGGCAGCCUAAAACAUGCCAUAGUGAUUUGAACAGUCCACUGUAGUGACUUGCUGUGUGGUUCACUUAAGAGGCAGCUCUACAACAUUCCCCAUCCCCUAUUGCUUUCCAUCAGCCACUGCGUCAAAGGCCUUGCCACAUUCCAGGCACCUCAUGGGACUUGGAAACGGGAUGCAGGCCCAAAAUCAUCGAGAAGGAAUCUCUCUACUGCCCUUCUAUGGCCCCACCUCACUUUCCUCUACUCAAAACAUGUAAAUACAUGGCCUUGAUAUUUAAAA